rnacentral:lncRNA from 1 species
AAAUGCUAGUGCAGAUUUUCGUAGAGAUCGAAGAUCUAAUGAGAUUAUUUUAUCACCGUCUAAGGAAACCUUGCAACGUUAAUUUCACCAGUAAUGUUAGCUUCGUUGGUGCUUUCCAUUCCCCAUCCAGUAAUACUACCAGCUGAUGUUGUCACAUUAGCCCCAUAAUAUUGAGAUAGCAUCCCAAAGUACCCCAUCUGAUUUCCAAUAUUCCCAGUAAUUUUAUUUCUAAAAUAUUUCACAUGAGGUAACCCCACACCUCCACCUCCGUUACCUCCAAGAUUUUUGAGGUUACCAUUGUAUGGUACCAUAUUAGGCACCCAUCAACGUUGAUGCUACUUGCAAUGUUAUUUACUCUAUACUAAAACGCGUACAGCCCUAUCACUGUUCAUAAAGACCCCUACGAACUUACAUGUUCGUCCCGUUUUCCCGUUUAUUCACGGUUUUGCCCACUUCUGCUCUUUUUCCGCCUCAUUCUUAUCUUCGUUUGAAUGAGGGCAAAAUAUCUAGCUCAAAGUGCUUUCCCGUGCUGGGCCAUUAAAAAAGCAAAGUUAUACAUUUAUAAUAAUAUAUGCUAAUCCUUAUUUCAUGAAAAGAAGACAACUCUUUAACGUUAGUGUUUAUCCAAGCACACGUCUCCCAAAAUGUUCUCUUCCACCGCCUGUGUUGAUCAUAUCCCUUCCAUCGUCUGUCCACCGAUUGCACCAACCAAUCCCGAAAGAGUGUUAAACGGUUCCAUUUAACAAAACCUUCCUUCCCUCCUUUUCCUUUUCCUCUACAACCACACAGUUCUUGGAUUCUCGGACAUAUAUCUCAGCGCUCCGAAUCAGGUGAGGUAUUCACAUGUCCAUUUGCAAGAUUUGUUUUUUCUUUAUAUACAACAUGUCGCCCUACUUUGGCGAUCUGAUUCGAUCUGCUCUUUUGUUGGUUUCCGGCAGGAUAAAAAUCAAACCGGUUGCAAAUUCAUCGAAGCAAAGAACACAGAGGCAAUACAUUGUUCCAGUUUCAGGUAAACUUUCAUACCGAAUUUAUAUUUCAUAUUCUCACAUUGUCCAACCAAGCAGGUUAUAUACAGCCCAUAUUUUUAGGUUCUUAAUGUGUUCCGAGACUGCUGAAUAAAAAUAUUAAUGUAGGAAAAGUUCUUAAUGGUUUACUACUACAUAUUGUUUUGAAACUUUAUUCAUUGAUAUCAGCUCCGAAUGGAAUAUGCUGUGCAAGCUGGUGUUAAAAACCUUUCCCUGUCACCUUUCACUCCUCUUUGUCCUUUCUUAUGAUCUAAUCUUAGUUCACUUGCUUUAGGUUUCAUAUUCAUAAUUUAAGGGUUUCUUUGCUUCUAUUUCUCACAUUAUCUUCUAUUUGUGAUAUUAAUGUGGCUUCGUUUAAAUUCCUAGAAAAGAUGAACGGGAGUCGGCCAAAUAUUUAUAUCCAACUGAUGCAUUCACUUUGACAGGAAGGAAAGACGAUGGACAUAACACCGGUGAGAGAAAUGGUACCCUUCAGGUACACAUACAAAAUCAGAGUUCGUGUAUCGAGGGUCUGGAGGCCUAGGUUUCGUCGAACUGA